UACGUAGGGUGCAAGCGUUGUCCGGAAUUAUUGGGCGUAAAGAGCUCGUAGGCGGUCUGUCGCGUCGGCUGUGAAAACCCGGAGCUCAACUCCGGGCCUGCAGUCGAUACGGGCAGACUGGAGUUCGGCAGGGGAGACUGGAAUUGCCGGUGUAGUGGUGAAAUGCGUAGAGAUCGGCAGGAACACCCAGGGGGAAACCAGUCGACUGGGCAGCACCUGACGCUGAGGUGCGAGAGCGUGGGGAGCGAACCGG
rnacentral:rRNA from 1 species